CCUACGGGUGGCAGCAGUGGGGGAUAUUGCACAAUGGGGGGAACCCUGAUGCAGCGACGCCGCGUGGGUGAAGGAGUGCUUCGGCAUGUAAAGCCCUAUCGGCAGGGAAGAAGCAAGACGGUACCUGACUAAGAAGCCACGGCUAACUACGUGCCAGCAGCCGAGGUAAUACGUAGGGGGCGAGCGUUAUCCGGAUUCACUGGGUGUAAAGGGAGCGUAGACGGCCAUGCAAGCCAGGGGGGAAAGCCCGGGGCCCAACCCCGGGACUGCCCUUGGAACUGUGCGGCUAGAGUGCGGGAGGGGCAGGCGGAAUUCCUGGUGUAGCGGUGAAAUGCGUAGAUAUCAGGAGGAACACCGGCGGCGAAGGCGGCCUGCUGGACUGCGACUGACGUUGAGGCUCGAAAGCGUGGGGAGCGAACAGGAUUAGAUACCCUUGUAGUC
rnacentral:rRNA from 1 species